UACGAAGGGGGCUAGCGUUGCUCGGAAUCACUGGACGUAAAGCGCACGUAGGCGGAUUGUUAAGUCAGGGGUGAAAUCCUGGAGCUCAACUCCAGAACUGCCUUUGAUACUGGCAAUCUCGAGUUCGGGAGAGGUGAGUGGAACUGCGAGUGUAGAGGUGAAAUUCGUAGAUAUUCGCAAGAACACCAGUGGCGAAGGCGGCUCACUGGCCCGAUACUGACGCUGAGGUGCGAAAGCGUGGGGAGCAAACAGG
rnacentral:rRNA from 1 species